UGGGGAAUAUUGCACAAUGGGCGCAAGCCUGAUGCAGCAAUGCCGCGUGAGUGAAGACGGCCUUAGGGUUGUAAAACUCUUUCGCUAGGGAAGAUAAUGACGGUACCUAGUAAAGAAGUCCCGGCUAACUCCGUGCCAGCAGCCGCGGUAAUACGGAGGGGGUUAGCGUUGUUCGGAAUUACUGGGCGUAAAGCGCACGUAGGCGGACCAGAAAGUUGGGGGUGAAAUCCCGGGGGCUCAACCCCGGAACUGCCUCCAAAACUAUUGGUCUAGAGUUCGAGAGAGGUGAGUGGAAUUCCAAGUGUAGAGGUGAAAUUCGUAGAUAUUUGGAGGAACACCAGUGGCGAAGGCGGCUCACUGGCUCGAUACUGACGCUGAGGUGCGAAAGUGUGGGGAGCAAACAGGAUUAGAUACCCUGGUAGUCCACACCGUAAAACGAUGAAUGCCAGUCGUCGGGUAGCAUGCUAUUCGGUGACACACCUAACGGAUUAAGCAUUCCGCCUGGGGAGUACGGUCGCAAGAUUAAAACUCAAAAUGAAUU
rnacentral:rRNA from 1 species